UCUUUGGCUCUUAUGGUCAAUAAAAGGCAAAAAAGGGCCAAUAUUUUUGCCUUUUAUUUGGAACACCAACAUUCUUUCCUCUCUGGCUCAUUGAAGAAGAGCUCAAGAGGGCUUUCCUUAACUUGAUUUUCCACUAGAUUUCUCAUUGUAUCCCCACAUUCCUCAACAUGAUUCAAAGAUUAUUCACUAAAUAAACUAAAUUUUAUUUAUUUAUUUGGUUUCAAGAUUUAUUUAUACCGAGAGUUAUUAGGUGUUAAAAGUAUUAAUAAGUUGCAUUUUUCAGUAUAUGCUAGCUAUACUAUUGAUUUGAGUCAUCAUGCUAAUUUUUUAUUAAUGCUGGCUGUGACCUUGCUCUUUUGCCACUGACAGCCCACUUGCAUGACCACAUCUGUGACUGCAAUAUGAAAUCAUGUUGGAAACAUGACAACCACUAAGGCUUUACCCAAAAAUAUGCACAUCGAGGAAUUAAGUAGAGAAAAAAUAAUAUUAUUGAACAUGAUAUCUUCAAUUCUUUAAAGAACUGGAGAAUAUUUUGACGACUGUGCAAAGGAAAUACAAUGUUGCAACAAAAUAAAUAUUAUUAGGUGCCCAGGAUCUCUAUGAUGGGCCCAUUCCUAAUCCAACAUCAUAACCUAACACACAGACUCCGAGUUUCUAAAGAGUCAAAGCAUUCUGAUAUGAUACUUUAUUUAAAUCGCACACAUGCACACACUAAAACCUUCAUUUUUAUUUUUUCCUUAAUUUGCCAACCAGUUUUACACUGAUAUAGGCCCCAUCUAAUAAAGACAAUGAAAUCCAUCAAACUUCCCCAAGUAAGGUUAAGUAAAUAUGCACGAUAAAGCAUCUUGGAAGAAUCUACUAGGAAAUGAAAUAUGUGACAGUUGAUAAUAGAUUAAGCUUGUAUAAAAAUUUCAAAUACCAUAUAUUCAUUGCUGUGAUUUGGAAAUCUGAGCACCCCUGAUGGACUUGUAUUGUUUGAUGAAGAACAAUCUUGGGUUCCUUCUUGACAAAGCUCGACAUCAAGCCAUGAAUCUUUCACCUGUUUGGGCAAUGAAGGAUUGUCCAGAAAAGAGUACUCUCUGAUACCGAUACCAGGGCCAAACUCCUCCUCUGGCAGCUGUUUUAACAUCACAUUGACCUCAAAAACAUGGUCCAAAGGGCAGAUAAAAGGUUGCCUAGUCAUAGUUCCUUUUAGAACUCCGGGAUGGGGAAACCAUAGCCUAUCCAAUCUGCACCAUAAUGGAGGCAUGACCAGUGUACGAUUUAACAAGGAAGCAAUUGCAAGCGCUGACCUUAUUUGUUUAAUCUGGUAAUUAACCAGGGAAAAGUGGGAUUCAAGAUUGUGUUCCCCAUCUAGUAACAGACUCUUUGGAAUAGAUGGCUUAAAUGACAAAAAACCCCCUGGCGCAUCAUAGUAAUCUGGUGGAUCAUAAAAAACCAUGGCUUCCCGCAACCGGUGGCGCUUUCCUUCAGUACCUGCAUACUGGAAUGUGGUAUGCACAGCAUACGGCUCCAAUCUGAGUUGUUGAUACAUGGCCUGGACAAAGUAGGUAUGUCCGCUACAAAAUAUACUUGCUGGUAAAAUUCCCAGCUUGAGAUUUCCAUCAAAAGCAUAUACAAGUCCAUUGUCACCUUCAACAGCUGGUCCUAACUGCCUGCGCACAAUAUCAUUGAACCCAUUCUGAUCCCAAAUCUUGUCAUCAGCAAGAAGCAUAUCUUUCCACUCUUUUGCCAACUUU
rnacentral:misc_RNA from 1 species